UGUUUAUAUAAUUUAAUUUUUAGUAGUUGCAUUGUUUAAUAAGCAGUCUGCAAAAUUCCUGAAAAUUAAGCACUUGCUUCUUGUGCUCCAGCACACCACUUCCUGUGCCUGUGCCAUCCCCCACAGCACUUCCUGGCAAAUGCCAACUCACUCUUCAAGACUCGAUAGCCACAUUCUGUCCACUCUGCCUCUCCUAGACUGGACGCGGUGCCUUCUGUGGGUUCCCACAGCCAUGUGGGCUUCUUUCUUUCAUAGCCACUCAAGGCUGGGCUACCUCACUUAUUUUCUUGCCUGUUUUCCUUGGGAAGGAAAAGGAGCAUGAGGAUCAACAAGUCUUGCUCACCACAGAAUCCCUAGGGCUUCGAAAAUGCCUGGCAGAUGGAAGGCACUCAAUAAAUAUGUGUGGAAUGAAGUAGGAAGGGACUGAGGAACUUUGCAAAGGGGUCCUGGGGCAAAGAGAUGGGAUUAGGAAAAUGGGGGUCUAAUGAGAGGGGCUUAAUCCAGGGGCUCAAAAUGUCUGUGAAGCCAGGGUCAGAAUGUCCUUGGUUGUUGUGGGGGCCGUCAGAUCUACUUGCAUCCUAAAGCUCCACUCUCCCCCCAGCAUGUCUAGGCUUCUCCCUCACCACUCUACUCAGCCCAGAUUUCGUCUGUAUUUUCUCCUCGCUCCUCAGGACUUACAGAAUGCAUUUAUAAGGGAGACUCCCUAGUCUUCAGUGAUAUUUUGUCUUUGAGCUCUAUUAAAUAGGCAGUGACCAAGGAGAUUCUCCCCUUUUCACAGAGGAAAGACUGAGGUCCAGAGCUGGCCUGACCUGAGCCUCAGGUGUCCCAGGGUUUACUCUUCAGCUGUGAAUUGCUCACACCCUGGCUGAGAGCCUAGACUUCCCUGUUCUCCAGGCCAUCCUGUUCAUCCUCCCUGCCUUCUACCAGGACAGCCCUCUCUCCCAUGGAGGGUCUGGGUGGUAUGACUUUUCCCUUCCCUUCCCUUCUCAGAAGAAGCCCAAAUAAGGAGACACCUCAUUCUCCCUGAUCCACCAUCACCUGCCCUUCCUAUCGUCUAGCCCUGAAUCGCUCUUGCUUUCAUAACACUGCCUUUCCUUCCCAGAAAGGGAUGUUUGCUCCCACCCUAAAAGUGACCUCACCAAGGGGCUGUUCUCCACUCUCCAGCCCCUCCCCAGGCCAUGGCAGAGCCAGGACCUAGCCCAGCCCAGCGUCUGUCUCUGGAUUUCCUGGAGGUAGUCACCAAGUAAGCCUGCUGGAGCCACCUCUCCCGUCCGUGACCUUUGCCUGGGAUCCACCCCAUCUCCCCCCCUCUCCCGGACACAUGCACACACACCCCACCCUGGGGCCCAAGCUUCACCAUCCACCUGUCCAGACUCGCCUUCCAUCCUGCUGGUGACACACCCAACCCAGCCAGUCCCCUGUGAUAUAAUAUCUCACUCAGGUCAGAGAGAAGCACAGGAAGAGGAGGCCUGGGGGAGUAACUGCCCUUCAUCCUCAUGGCUGACAUUCCUUCCCCAGCUUGGGACCUUCCAUGAAAGACCUCAAGGCCCAGUUCACAUAACACCCCAAUUUUACAGCCCUCCCCAGUGCUAGCUGCUGGAUGUACACUGGAAAGCAAGUCACAGUCCCAGCCCUGGAGGACUUUCAAGGCAUGUGGGGAAGCUGCACAUCUUGAAUCAAGGUGGCUCACGCCUAUAAUC